rnacentral:rRNA from 1 species
GAAACAGUUGCUAAGACUGGAUAGGAAAUAAAAAGGCAUCUUUUUAUUUUUAAAAGACCUUUUUCGGAAGGUAUGCUUAAAGAGGGGCUUGCGUCACAUUAGUUAGUUGGCAGGGUAAAGGCCUACCAAGACUAUGAUGUGUAGCUGGACUGAGAGGUUGAACAGCCACAUUGGGACUGAGACACGGCCCAAACUCCUACGGGAGGCAGCAGUAGGGAAUUUUCGGCAAUGGAGGAAACUCUGACCGAGCAACGCCGCGUGAACGAUGAAGUAUUUCGGUAUGUAAAGUUCUUUUAUUGAAGAAGAAAAAAUAGUGGAAAAACUAUCUUGACGAUAUUCAAUGAAUAAGCCCCGGCAAACUAUGUGCCAGCAGCCGCGGUAAUACAUAGGGGGCGAGCGUUAUCCGGGAAUUAUUGGGCGUAAAGGGUGCGUAGGCGGUUUAAUAAGUCUAUAGUUUAAUUUCAGUGCUUAACACUGUCCUGCUAUAGAAACUAUUAGACUAGAGUGAGAUAGAGGCAAGUGGAAUUCCAUGUGUAGCGGUAAAAUGCGUAAAUAUAUGGAGGAACACCAGAGGCGUAGGCGGCUUGCUGGGUCUUUACUGACGCUGAGGCACGAAAGCGUGGGGAGCAAACAGGAUUAGAUACCCUGGUAGUCCACGCCGUAAACGAUGAGUACUAAGUGUCGGGAUUACUCGGUACUGAAGUUAACACAUUAAGUACUCCGCCUGAGUAGUACGUACGCAAGUAUGAAACUUAAAAGGAAUUGACGGGACUCCGCACAAGCGGUGGAUCAUGUUGUUUAAUUCGAAGAUACACGAAAAACCUUACCAGGUCUUGACAUACUCUGCAAAGCUAUAGCAAUAUAGUGGAGGUUAUCAGGGAUACAGGUGGUGCAUGGUUGUCGUCAGCUCGUGUCGUGAGAUGUUAGGUUAAGUCCUAAAACGAGCGCAACCCUUGUCAUUAGUUGCCAGCAUGUCAUGAUGGGCACUUUAAUGAGACUGCCAAUGAAAAAUUGGAGGAAGGUGAGGAUCACGUCAAAUCAUCAUGCCCCUUAUGAUCUGGGCUACAAACGUGAUACAAUGGCUGUUACAAAGAGUAGCUGAAACGCAAGUUUAUAGCCAAUCUCAUAAAAGCAGUCUCAGUUCGGAUUGAAGUCUGCAACUCGACUUCAUGAAGUUGGAAUCGCUAGUAAUCGCGAAUCAGCAUGUCGCGGUGAAUACGUUCUCGGGGUUUGUACACACCGCCCGUCA